GUUCCUGUUGAUGAAGUUGGCGGUGAUGGCGAUGGCCAGCUUCCCGCGGAAUUCCUUCCUCCUGAACCCUGCAUGAGGAGAGGGACGGGGGAAAGCGGGACACGGAAUGCACAAAGGGAGACUUUCAUGUGAGGAUGGAGACUCAGAUGAGGGUGGUGUUCAACAAGCCAAGGAACACUGAAGGUUGCAGAAAACAGCAGAAGCUAGGGGAGAGGCAGGGAAGCCGUUCUUCAUCAGAAAGACCACUCCGAAGAAGGCCUGAUCUUGGACUUCCAGCCACCAGGACUAUGAGGCAAUCCUUGUGUGCUGUCCAAGCCACUGUGGUACUUUGUAGGGGCAGCCCCAGGAAACCAAUGGAAUUCCAGUGACUGGCGCUCAGUCCACAUCCAAAAAAUACAUAAUGAAUAGGGAGAUUUCUAACUAGCAAUUAAUUUAGUACAGCACUCUUAAUUCCUCAAGUCUCUCUUUUUUUAAAGUUUUAUUAUUUUUUUGAAGUUGACACAUAAUUCUAAAUAUUUAUGGCACACAGUGUGGUACUUUGGUUACAGUGUAUAUUAAGCAAUGAUCAAAUCAUAGUAAUUAGCACAUCAUUGCCUCAAACAUUCAUUUCUUUAGGAUGAGACCAUUCAAAAUCUCCUCUUCUGGGUAUUUUGAGUGGUACAGAACAUUACUGUUAGCUAUGGCCACCCUACUGUACAAUAGAGCAUCAGAGCUUAUGCUCAGGGUUCUUGGUUUUCAGUGGUUUGCAUGAACAUCUUUUUGAAUGGUGGUGAGUCAACAGAUCACAGCAGGGGGUCAUAUUUCAAUAGCAUCUACUCCUUCUCCUCCUUUUUCUAUGCAUCUGAUGUUUCCAGGAGUCCUGGAAUUUCCCCCUGCCACAGGCAUACUGCUCAUUUCAUUGACCACAGGUACCCACUGCUGUGGUCUGACUGUGUUGCCCCAAAUCCAUGUGCUAGAAACUUAAUCCCCAAAUUCAUAUGUUAGUGCAAUUUGGAGAUAGGGUCUUUGGGAUAUGAUUGGGCCAUAAGGGUUCUGCCUUCAAAAAUAAAUUAAUCCAUUCAUGAAUUAAUGGAUUAACAAGCAGGUGAUCUUGGUAGUGGCUUUGUUACAAACUUGCUUGGCUAUGUAAUAUCCUCUACCAUAUUUUGAUUAAGAAGCACCAUGCUCUUGGGCUUUCCAGCCUCCAAAACAUGGGCUUAAUAAAUAUCUAUUCUCAAUAAA